GAUGAACGCUGGCGGCGUGCCUAAUACAUGCAAGUCGAGCGAACAGAUGAGGAGCUUGCUCCUCUGACGUUAGCGGCGGACGGGUGAGUAACACGUGGAUAACCUACCUAUAAGACUGGGAUAACUUCGGGAAACCGGAGCUAAUACCGGAUAAUAUAUUGAACCGCAUGGUUCAAUAGUGAAAGACGGUUUUGCUGUCACUUAUAGAUGGAUCCGCGCCGCAUUAGCUAGUUGGUAAGGUAACGGCUUACCAAGGCAACGAUGCGUAGCCGACCGGAGAGGGUGAUCGGCCACCUUGGAGCGGAGACAGGGUCAAGACUCCUACGGGAGGCAACAGUAUGGAAUGGUCCGCAAUGGGCGAAAGCCUGACGGAGCAACGCCGAGUGAGUGAUGAAGGUCUUCGGAUCGUAAAACUCUGUUAUUAGGGAAGAACAACUGUGUAAGUAACUAUGCACGUCUUGACGGUACCGAAUCAGAAAGCCACGGCUAACUACGUG
rnacentral:rRNA from 1 species